ACGAACGCUGGCGGCAGGCCUAACACAUGCAAGUCGAACGAAGGCCCUCUUCGGAGGUGUCCUUAGUGGCGGACGGGUGAGUAACACGUGGGAACCUACCUAGCAGUACGGAAUAACUGUGGGAAACUGCAGCUAAUACCGUAUACGCCCUACGGGGGAAAGAUUUAUCGCUGCUGGAUGGGCCCGUGGCUGAUUAGCUUGUUGGUGGGGUAACGGCUCACCAAGGCGACGAUCAGUAGCUGGUCUGAGAGGAUGAUCAGCCACACUGGGACUGAGACACGGCCCAGACUCCUACGGGAGGCAGCAGUGGGGAAUAUUGGACAAUGGGGGAAACCCUGAUCCAGCCAUGCCGCGUGAGUGAAGAAGGCCUUAGGGUUGUAAAACUCUUUCACCGGGGACGAUGAUGACGGUACCCGGAGAAGAAGCCCCGGCUAACUCCGU
rnacentral:rRNA from 1 species